GAUAUGAACUCGAUGCGUACAACUGCAACCAGCAACCUCAUCUUUCCCCACCGUCGCUGUUUAUCUCUGCUGCCUCCGCGGCUCCGCCCAUCGGAGCACCGCUACCCUUCUUCGAUCCGGACUCACCGGCGGCCGUGAAGUGGCGCUAGACUGCAGCGACGAGACGCGCGCUGCGGCGGCCACUGCAGAUCUCGACCCCCUCGCUCGAUCGUGAUCGGGAUUCGGAAGGGCUGGAGCGAAUCCGGUCGUAGUUCUCCAAAUCGAGGCUUCAUUUGCUUGGCCUCCUCCCGUCGACGCCAGAUCGGAGCGCCGACACCCUUCUUCGACCCAGAAACAACGGCACAGGACUGCAGGUGCGUCAAGACGCGCGACGGCCGGCGCCCACUGCAAAUCUCGAACCCCCUCACUCGAUCAAGAUCCUGGUCAGGAGUGGCUCGACCGAAUCGGCACCUAGUUCUACAAAUCGAGGCUUGAUCUCUAUCUAAAACGGCAGCUUGCAAUGCUGGAAUUUCUCGAGAAGAAGCUGAAGCAAGUUGAGAACAGAGCUAGUUUCCUAUCUUGUGUUCUCAGUGGUGAUAUCAAGAUCAUUCCCAGGAAACAAAAGGAGCUUCUACAAGAGAUUGCUGAAAAGGGAUUUGAUCCCCUCCCAAAGGAGGUUCUGCCUGCUGCCGUAGGAGCAACAAGAGACAGGGAAGAAAAUGGAAGAAGCCCUGAUGUACAUGCCAGUGAUUAUGAGUAUCUCACCUCCAUGACAAUUUCUACUUUAAAUGAGGGGUACCUGGAGCAUCUUCUAGUACUAAAGAAGAGGUUUGAAACUAAAGUUGAACUCCUGAGAAGAGCUACACCGGAAUGUCUGAAAUCUGAAAAGAAACGAACUGUAACUAUAAGUCCUGAUAUACAGUUUCUUGAUGCAAACUAUAUAAAAGCUCAAUCAGAUAGAAAGGUUGUGAUAGUCAUUGAUUGCAAACACAACAAUGUAUUUGAAGCAGCCCCCAGGAGAUAACAUAAAAGGAUCGCAGCCGAGUAUCUUGAGGCUAGUGUGGUGCUGAUGGAUGAUGAUGAGGACCAUCUUGCUGGAAGUCUCGAGGCCCAAGAAUUUAGUGAGACUGAGAACACACAAAAGAAACAAGCAAAGAAGCAGAGGAAACAAAGAAAGAAGCGGAGGAAGCAAGAAAGCAAAACAAGCGCAAUACCUUGCUGCGGACUAGACUCUCAGGGCCAUGACAGGUCAAGCCACGGCUUGCUCACCGAAGAAAUUAAGAAGAUUGCAAGUGGCUUAGAUGGGGUUGAGACCACUUAUGGUAAUAGGGAUCAAAAUAGGGUAGCUCAGGUGUUGGCUAAGUUAAGCCUGCAAGAUGCAUCUGUGUCAGUUUAGCAUGUAGAUGCACCGUCUUUUGUAGCUUCUUUUGUCACGGCAGAUGUAACCUUUUUGAUUAGGGCAACACUAGCCAUUACUCGGGCGGGGUGAGCCCCAUAUCGGCCGCCUCCCUAGCCUUUAGUUUAAAUUGCAAAGUCUGGACCGUUCGAUAGUUGCAGCAUGAAACUUCCGGGAUAUACAUUUGCAACAUCGUAGCAGAACUUCUGUUGUGGGGUGUC